CUCUGGUAUUGAUUGGUGCUUGCAUCAUGAUUUACAUUUGAGUGAGUGGCGAACUGGUGAGUAACACGUGGGAAACCUGCCCAGAAGCGGGGGAUAACACCUGGAAACAGAUGCUAAUACCGCAUAACAACUUGGACCGCAUGGUCCGAGCUUGAAAGAUGGCUUCGGCUAUCACUUUUGGAUGGUCCCGCGGCGUAUUAGCUAGAUGGUGAGGUAACGGCUCACCAUGGCAAUGAUACGUAGCCGACCUGAGAGGGUAAUCGGCCACAUUGGGACUGAGACACGGCCCAAACUCCUACGGGAGGCAGCAGUAGGGAAUCUUCCACAAUGGACGAAAGUCUGAUGGAGCAACGCCGCGUGAGUGAAGAAGGGUUUCGGCUCGUAAAACUCUGUUGUUAAAGAAGAACAUAUCUGAGAGUAACUGUUCAGGUAUUGACGGUAUUUAACCAGAAAGCCACGGCUAACUACGUGCCAGCAGCCGCGGUAAUACGUAGGUGGCAAGCGUUGUCCGGAUUUAUUGGGCGUAAAGCGAGCGCAGGCGGUUUUUUAAGUCUGAUGUGAAAGCCUUCGGCUCAACCGAAGAAGUGCAUCGGAAACUGGGAAACUUGAGUGCAGAAGAGGACAGUGGAACUCCAUGUGUAGCGGUGAAAUGCGUAGAUAUAUGGAAGAACACCAGUGGCGAAGGCGGCUGUCUGGUCUGUAACUGACGCUGAGGCUCGAAAGUAUGGGUAGCAAACAGGAUUAGAUACCCUGGUAGUCCAUACCGUAAACGAUGAAUGCUAAGUGUUGGAGGGUUUCCGCCCUUCAGUGCUGCAGCUAACGCAUUAAGCAUUCCGCCUGGGGAGUACGGCCGCAAGGCUGAAACUCAAAGGAAUUGACGGGGGCCCGCACAAGCGGUGGAGCAUGUGGUUUAAUUCGAAGCUACGCGAAGAACCUUACCAGGUCUUGACAUACUAUGCAAAUCUAAGAGAUUAGACGUUCCCUUCGGGGACAUGGAUACAGGUGGUGCAUGGUUGUCGUCAGCUCGUGUCGUGAGAUGUUGGGUUAAGUCCCGCAACGAGCGCAACCCUUAUUAUCAGUUGCCAGCAUUAAGUUGGGCACUCUGGUGAGACUGCCGGUGACAAACCGGAGGAAGGUGGGGAUGACGUCAAAUCAUCAUGCCCCUUAUGACCUGGGCUACACACGUGCUACAAUGGAUGGUACAACGAGUUGCGAACUCGCGAGAGUAAGCUAAUCUCUUAAAGCCAUUCUCAGUUCGGAUUGUAGGCUGCAACUCGCCUACAUGAAGUCGGAAUCGCUAGUAAUCGCGGAUCAGCAUGCCGCGGUGAAUACGUUCCCGGGCCUUGUACACACCGCCCGUCACACCAUGAGAGUUUGUAACACCCAAAGUCGGUGG
rnacentral:rRNA from 2 species